AAGUCGUAACAAGGUUUCCGUAGGUGAACCUGCGGAAGGAUCAUUAAUGAAACGUAAGGAUGCUCUUUUUAGAGGUCCGACCAACUUCAUUUCCUUCACCCUGUGCACACACACUUUUUACACCAUUUUUAACGCAUUAGUCUAAGAAUGUAAUCAGUCUCUUAAAUGAGCAUAAAAGUUAAUAAAACUUUCGGCAACGGAUCUCUUGGUUCCC
rnacentral:misc_RNA from 1 species